rfam:Heterorhabditis bacteriophora unplaced genomic scaffold Scaffold675, whole genome shotgun sequence.
CGAACGGCCCUCUUUAGGGCCAUAUUUAUGUGAAUACACAUGGUGU